rnacentral:lncRNA from 1 species
AUUUGUCAAUAAAUUCAACUUACACACCAAUUGUCUGCAGUUUGAAGGAUCAACUAGAAGGGGACUCUCAUCUGCCCUUAGCUUUAUGGAAGAAUCAAGGGAUGAUGACAGGUUGGAAUAUUCAGUGCAUUCAAAUUCCUUUAGUAAGUCCAUGGUGAAUUUCCUUUGAGAUAUCAACAUUACAUCUUCUUUAUAAAGUACUUCAAUCCCUAGAAAGUAAUGUAGCCUCCCUAGAUCUUUUAUUUUGAAAGUAAAAUUUCCAGAGAAUCAAUCUCCUCUUGAUGAGUUCUUGUUACAAUUACAUUAUCCACAUAUACAUCCACAAAAACCACUACAGG